rnacentral:sRNA from 1 species
AUUUUGGUGGCCGGGCGCGGAGGUGAUUCCACACUGAGGCGAGCGCGACGGCCGGGGUGGUAGUGGCAGUGUUCGUGUGCUCGGGUCUGAAUCGCCGAGGGAGGAGGCGGUGGAGGAAGAGGUGGCGGCGGUGGCGGUGGUCGUAGCGGUGGCGGAGGAGGCGGACGAGCAAAAAUCAAAUUAAAGUAGAUCUUGUAGAUGAGAAUUUUACAGAAUUAAGAGGAGAAAUAGCAGGACCUCCAGACACACCAUAUGAAGGAGGAAGAUAUCAACUAGAGAUAAAAAUACCAGAAACCUACCCAUUUAAUCCCCCUAAGGUCCGGUUUAUCACUAAAAUAUGGCAUCCUAAUAUUAGUUCCGUCACAGGGGCUAUUUGUUUGGAUAUCCUGAAAGAUCAAUGGGCAGCUGCAAUGACUCUCCGCACGGUAUUAUUGUCAUUGCAAGCACUAUUGGCAGCUGCAGAGCCAGAUGAUCCACAGGAUGCUGUAGUAGCAAAUCAGUACAAACAAAAUCCCGAAAUGUUCAAACAGACAGCUCGACUUUGGGCACAUGUGUAUGCUGGAGCACCAGUUUCUAGUCCAGAAUACACCAAAAAAAUAGAAAACCUAUGUGCUAUGGGCUUUGAUAGGAAUGCAGUAAUAGUGGCCUUGUCUUCAAAAUCAUGGGAUGUAGAGACUGCAACAGAAUUGCUUCUGAGUAACUGAGGCAUAGAGAGCUGCUGAUAUAGUCAAGCUUGCCUCUUCUUGAGGAGCACCAACAUCUGUUAUUUUUAGGAUUCUGCAUAGAUUUCUUUUAAACUGGCAUUCUUGCCUAAUGAUGUUAUCUAGGCACCAUUGGAGACUGAGAAAAAAAAAAAAAUCCCUGCUCUGUAAAUAAAGCUAAUUAAACGUCUGUGUAAAUUUAAAAAGGGGAAAUACUUUAAUUUUUUUUCUUAAUAGUGUAAAAAUUCCUUGAGCUAAGCUAAAACCAUGGAAGAAACAUGCUACUUUAGUGUUUAGCAGUGUACCAAGACUAGCAAGAGUUUGCUUCAGGAUGUUGUUGAAUAAUUAAGAUAAUAUUUUGAGUGUGUCAGGGCCAUUCAAAUUGUUGGUGUUGCAUCACAGCUACCUUAACUGUUUUUAACAUGGAUCCUCUGUGCCUGUGAAUUUACUUGCAUGCUUGUACUUGACUUCUUAGGAUGGGUAGCUGAAAAGACCACCAUUUUAAGCAUUUGAGAAUUCUUAAAUAUGAAAUUUAUUCAGAAGUGAAGAUGGUGACCUAUUCAGAGCCUUUUUGUCCUUGUCAACAGACUGGGACAUAGUGUCUGUUCCCCCCACUUGACCCCCCCCGCCCACCCCUGCCUUGCCACACACAGCUAAUACUCUAAUGGUAAAUUUCUCUGUAUUAGGUGGGGAAAUGUGCUGAAGGACAGUAUGUAUCCCUUGCUUCAUUUUUAGGUCGUAGGUUUGGAAUGUUUUGUCCCAGUUCUUCAAACACUCUUAAAUUUUUCGUAAGUAAUGUGAAAAUGGAACUGCCAAUUUUAUUUCUCUUGCAAAAAUAGUAAAUACUUGAUGUUACAUUAUUCCCAGGUUUAAUGAAAGAACCCAACUUAGUUUUUCAGUGAAUUUGACUCCUAUUUUUUAAAUGAUGAAAUUUUUCUUUGAGAACUGGCAAGGAUGCAGUCAGCUGUUUGCAGUUUUUAGCCUGAUUUUGGGGUCUAUAGAGAUUGCUUUAUUGGAUACUUCCAGUCAUUCUUGCUUGCACUUCCCCUAUUGACACAUGAAAGCUGUGUUGGUGUUUUAUUGUACAUACUUCAGAUGCACAUAGGAAUAGAAGUGUGUUAUAAAUCUAGCUUUCUUUAUGAUGUUUCUGAUAAUAUGAGAAUUGAAAACUUUACCUUCUCUUGUACAUAGUCAGACUAUUUGUAUUAAAUUUACAUUUCAUUCUAAGUUCAAAAGUUUGAAAAUUAUUAGUUUUGCAAGAUCAAACACUAAUGUGACCAUUAUAUGAAGGUUGAAGUGGAUUUAUGCAGGCGGUUCUAUAUAUAGAAAUACAAUUCUUUUUAAAUUUUUAGGACCAAUACAAAAUAACAAAAAUGUUAUGGAAUCAGACUGAAUUAAAGUAAGGCUGUAUAUUGAAAGUCAUAUUAUAAAAGGUUUGCUUUCUUUAAGUGUUAUUUAUCUUAAAUUAUAAUCGUUAAGUGUUUGGAAGAUAAUUUUUGAAUCAUAACGUCAGCAUAACUUCAUUUGACUUCUCAAUAAUCUUGAUACUAGAAGCAAUAAAAGAACCAUUAUUA